rnacentral:rRNA from 1 species
CCUACGGGGGGCAGCAGUGGGGAAUAUUGCGCAAUGGGCGAAAGCCUGACGCAGCGACGCCGCGUGAGGGAUGAAGGUCUUCGGAUCGUAAACCUCUGUCAGCAGGGAAGAACGGUCACUGUGCUAAUCAGCAGUGAAUUGACGGUACCUGCAAAGGAAGCACCGGCUAACUCCGUGCCAGCAGCCGCGGUAAUACGGAGGGUGCGAGCGUUAAUCGGAAUUACUGGGCGUAAAGCGCUCGUAGGCGGUAUGUCAAGUCAAGGGUGAAAUCCUAUGGCUUAACCAUAGAACUGCAUUUGAAACUG